CCCUUAGAUGUCCUGGGCUGCACGCGCACUACACUGAUGUGUCCAGUAAGCACCUAACCUAUUCCGAGAGGAGCGGGUAACCUUAGCAAAGCACAUCGUGAUGGGGAUAGAUUAUUGCAAUUAUUAGUCUUGAACGAGGAAUUCCUAGUAAGCACAAGUCAUCAGCUUGUGUUGAUUACGUCCCUGCCCUUUGUACACACCGCCCGUCGCUCCUACCGAUUGAAUGUUCCGGUGAGCUCUUCGGACUGCGCGGUCUGCAGUUUCUGCGUUCCGUGCGGAAAGUUGUGCAAACCUUAACAUUUAGAGGAAGGAGAAGUCGUAACA
rnacentral:rRNA from 1 species